rnacentral:rRNA from 1 species
CCAGACUCCUACGGGAGGCAGCAGUGGGGAAUAUUGCACAAUGGGGGAAACCCUGAUGCAGCAACGCCGCGUGAGUGAAGAAGUAUUUCGGUAUGUAAAGCCCUAUCGGCAGGGAAGAAACAGACGGUACCUGACUAAGAAGCCCCGGCUAACUACGUGCCAGCAGCCGCGGUAAUACGUAGGGGGCAAGCGUUAUCCGGAUUUACUGGGUGUAAAGGGAGCGUAGACGGCAUGGCAAGUCAGAUGUGAAAGCCCGGGGCUCAACCCCGGGACUGCAUUUGGAACUGUGUGGCUGGAGUGUCGGAGAGGCAGGCGGAAUUCCUAGUGUAGCGGUGAAAUGCGUAGAUAUUAGGAGGAACACCAGUGGCGAAGGCGGCCUGCUGGACGAUGACUGACGUUGAGGCUCGAAAGCGUGGGGAGCAAACAGGAUUAGAUACCCGCGUAAUC